rnacentral:tRNA from 1 species
AUUAGAAUAGCUUAAAUAACUAAAGCAGUAUAUUGAAGAUAUAACUAAAGAAUUUUUCUUUCUAAUA